rnacentral:rRNA from 1 species
GACGAACGCUGGCGGCGUGCUUAACACAUGCAAGUCGAGCGGUAAGGCCCUUUCGGGGGUACACGAGCGGCGAACGGGUGAGUAACACGUGGGUGACCUGCCCUUAGCUCUGGGAUAAGCCUGGGAAACUGGGUCUAAUACCGGAUAUGACUCCAUGACGCAUGUCGUGGGGUGGAAAGCCUUGUGCGGCUAGGGAUGGGCCCGCGGCCUAUCAGCUUGUUGGUGGGGUGAUGGCCUACCAAGGCGACGACGGGUAGCCGGCCUGAGAGGGCGACCGGCCACACUGGGACUGAGACACGGCCCAGACUCCUACGGGAGGCAGCAGUGGGGAAUCUUGCGCAAUGGGCGAAAGCCUGACGCAGCGACGCCGCGUGGGGAUGACGGCCU